rnacentral:rRNA from 1 species
UACAGAGGUCUCAAGCGUUGUUCGGAUUCAUUGGGCGUAAAGGGCGCGUAGGCGGCGGGGUAAGUCGGGUGUGAAAUCUCAGAGCUCAACUCUGAAACUGCACUCGAUACUGCUCUGCUUGAGGACUGGAGAGGAGACUGGAAUUCACGGUGUAGCAGUGAAAUGCGUAGAUAUCGUGAGGAAGACCAGUGGCGAAGGCGGGCCUCUGGACAGUUCCUGACGCUGAGGCACGAAGGCCAGGGGAGCAAACGGG